rnacentral:pre_miRNA from 1 species
AAAAUAUUCUCUCCGUUUCAUAACUCUUAUCGAAAUAUUACAUGUAUCUACAUGCUUUUUAGGAAUAGAUACAUUCAUUUUUAGACAAAUUUGAAAUAAGAAUUAUGAAACGGAGGGAGUAAUUG